rnacentral:sRNA from 1 species
GCUGGGCGUGGUGGCACACGCCUGUAAUCCCAGCAGUUUGGGAGGCUGAGGCAGGAGGAUUGUGAGUUCAGAGCCAGCCUCAGCCAAAGCAAGGCACUAAGCAACUCAGUGAGACCCUGCCUCUA